AAGUGUCCUCCAAAUCCAACAAUAAUGAAGACGUGGGAGCACGCCCAGGAAAUGAUAAAGGAGUCAAAAAUUCUUCUUUGGAACAGAGGCAAAUUAUUCAGACUAAAUCAACAAAUGCAAAUAAUUCAAAUAUUAAAGAUUUUGGAGCUGAAGAAUCCAACAGAAAGAACGCAACAUCACUCAUUCUCUUUGAGGAGGUUGAUGUCAUUUUUGAUGAAGAUGCUGGAUUUUUGAAUGCAGUCAAAACAUUCAUGGCAACAACUAAACGACCAGUAAUUCUCACUACAAGUGAUCCCACAUUUAGUUUAGUGUUUGAUGGCUGUUUUGAAGAAAUCAAUUUCAAUAUUCCUUCCCUGCUAAACGUUGCGAGCUAUCUACAAGUGAUCUGUUUAGUUGAGAACUUCAGAACUGACUUUAAAGACUUUGUUACCUUGUUGACUGCAAAUGCUUGUGACAUCAGAAAAAGUAUCCUUUACUUACAGUUUUGGAUAAGAAGUGGAGGUGGAAUUUUAGAAGAAAGACCAUUAUCACAUUGUCGAGAAAAUAGCAGAAAUACACUGGUUUGUUCUGAACAUGAAUCUGAUGCGAACAUUAACUCUAAAAACACCAAAAGGAACCGUGUGGCCCUCCCCAGAUGUGACACCGGCUGUGCAGAGGCUUUGUUUGGACUCAAGAACAUUGCCUGCCCAUCCCAAGACUUACUUUCAUCGUUAAAG
rnacentral:lncRNA from 1 species